rnacentral:rRNA from 1 species
GACGGAGGGUGCAAGCGUUGUUCGGAAUCACUGGGCGUAAAGCGCGUGUAGGCGGUUUGAUAAGUCGGAUGUGAAAGCCCGAGGCUCAACCUCGGAAGUGCAUUCGAAACUGUCAGGCUUGAGUACGGGAGAGGGAAGUGGAAUUCCUGGUGUAGAGGUGAAAUUCGUAGAUAUCAGGAGGAACACCGGUGGCGAAGGCGGCUUCCUGGCCCGAUACUGACGCUGAGGCGCGAAAGCGUGGGGAGCAAACAGG